UGCUCAAAAUGGUGGACUAAUAGCUAGUGU
rnacentral:piRNA from 1 species